rnacentral:rRNA from 1 species
GACGAACGCUGGCGGCGUGCUUAACACAUGCAAGUCGAACGGAAAGGCCCUGCUUUUGUGGGGUGCUCGAGUGGCGAACGGGUGAGUAACACGUGAGUAACCUGCCCUUGACUUUGGGAUAACUUCAGGAAACUGGGGCUAAUACCGGAUAGGAGCUCCUGCUGCAUGGUGGGGGUUGGAAAGUUUCGGCGGUUGGGGAUGGACUCGCGGCUUAUCAGUUUGUUGGUGGGGUAGUGGCUUACCAAGGCUUUGACGGGUAGCCGGCCUGAGAGGGUGACCGGCCACAUUGGGACUGAGAUACGGCCCAGACUCCUACGGGAGGCAGCAGUGGGGAAUAUUGCACAAUGGGCGGAGGCCUGAUGCAGCAACGCCGCGUGCGGGAUGACGGCCUUCGGGUUGUAAACCGCUUUCGCCUGUGACGAAGCGUGAGUGACGGUAAUGGGUAAAGAAGCACCGGCUAACUACGUG